rnacentral:rRNA from 1 species
UACGUAGGGUGCAAGCGUUGUCCGGAAUUAUUGGGCGUAAAGAGCUCGUAGGCGGUCUGUCGCGUCGGAUGUGAAAAUCCAGGGCUUAACCCUGGGCCUGCAUUCGAUACGGGCAGACUAGAGUUCGGUAGGGGAGACUGGAAUUCCUGGUGUAGCGGUGAAAUGCGCAGAUAUCAGGAGGAACACCGGUGGCGAAGGCGGCUUUCUGGACAGAUACCGACGCUGAGGCACGAAAGCUAGGGGAGCAAACAGG